GAAGCAGUGAAGCUAUGAAGAGCAGCCUCUUCAUCUCUGAGUAACUACGGCUACCCUCACCAAUCAAUCAGGAAAUCACCAAUUCACGAUCAUCAUCAAGUGAUUCAAGUCUUACUAGUUAGUAGCUAUCAAUCAAUCAGGUUAAGUGGUGACUGCCAAGGAUACCAAUUUUUUCUUCGUCUAUCAGAUUCAAUCUAAACCUUUUUGUUUCCAAGGUUGAGGUUGUCCUAUCCAAUCAAUGGCCUUAUUGGAGGGGAAAGUGCAGAUUUGUGGCCUAGGAUUGCAACUUGCAAGUGCAGGCUGUGCAGCCAUCCAUUAUUUCUUGUCGAC